AUGAUUACAGGUUGUAUUUAGACAGCUUAGGAGACUGAAAUUGAAUAGAAACAAACCAACCAUCUCACCCCCACCCCCACCAAAAAUAACCACUUCCCAACUAGUAUCAAAUGCAUAGUGGAAUCUGGACAUUAUUUGCAGUGUUGCAGUCUGCAAAGAAUGUUUUUCCCCUUAAAAAAUUCAGUAUACACUGCACUAUGCCUAGACUUUUGUCAUUAAAUGCACCUCCAAAUUAGUUCAUAUAUGGUCGCGAAACUUUACUCACUAUAGCAAUAAUCACAAAACUAUUUUUUAUCACAUUAGAAAAGUAACUAUAUUUGAAUUAUUCGAGAAAAUACAAAUGACCGCAAAAAAAGGAACUUACGCAAAGAAAGGAACUAUAUUUUUUCUUCCUCGAAUUCCGUACAUAGCGGAAGUUUAGUGAAACGGACCGCUUUUUUUACAAAUAAAUUUAAAAAAUACCACCAGGAUUGCACCAUGACUAGGCUUUAAUCAUUAACUUCACCUUAAAAUCACAAAGUCAGAUGAUUUAAGCAAACAAGCUCUAAAUUCAUACGCUAAUUAAACAAAGAAAAUAAGUCAUUUCUUUUUAAUACAAUCAAAAUGGAAAAAAAGGGGGGGGAUGAAACAAAAUUUACUCUUAUAAUUGGUUCACCUGUUGGAUUGGCAGCUUCAAAUUAAAGGGAGUACUUAUGAAGAGCUUGAAGGACAGUGUUGUACAUGAUGUUGAUCAAGUUGUACUUCUCUGUUCUUAGGGAAAAUGAGUGUAAUAAAUGGUCCAUUUUCCUCAUCUUUGGACAACUUUGAACUUGAAGAAACUUCAAUACUUUCAACUUGAUAUGACACAUUUUCCUCCACAAUUCUUCUACAAAAUUUAUCUUCAGCAUCUCUCAAGAAUUUAAAUGUUGGAGGAGGUGAAUUGGACCUUAUAAACUUAUUAAACUCAGCAUCACUUAUUGAUUCAAGAAAAGGAUUGAAUCCAUUUUUGUGCAUCAUAGGACUUAAAGGAGGAGUAAAAUAAAGUGGUGAAGUAAGUGGAGUUAAAUAAGGAGUUUCCAUAUUUAGACAUAAAUCACUUAAACUCCUAGUUCUUGAUCCUUUUCUACUCUUUUCACCUUUGGAUUUUCCAUCUUCAGAUUCCAAAUCUUCUUUAGUUUCCUCUUUGAUAGUAAAUAAAAAUCUUGGUGGCCCACAAAGUCCUAUAAAUUCAUUUUCCAUGUUAUCAUCUCCAAAGGGUUUGAACCAAAAAUCGGUAGCCUCCUCGACUGGUUGACCUCUCCACUGAGUACUAUUUGACUCUACAUUGGAUUGAACUUGGAUUGUUGGUUCAUGGACUUGUGUAUCAUUGGCACAAAUUUCUUGAGAUUUUAAGGCAAUAUUGGAAUUUAAAGAAGUUGAGGGCUUAAUACAAAACAUACAAAAGAACUCUUUGGCUUUAUUGCUACUAUAACCAUCUUCAAGACUUGUUUUAACAAUCCUAUUUUUCCACCAUAAUAAGUAGUAAAGCUCAGCAAUAAGAGCUAAUAAAAGACAACCAAAUACCACACUUAAAACAAGUCCUACACUGCUCAAAGAUUUCAUCUUUACAUUUAUAUAACCAAUAAAAACAAAAAAUUCCAACCUUUCACCUUAGAAUUGCCUCAGAUUCUUGAAACUGAGAGAAGAUCUUUGGUUUCAAAUUUUCAAGAAGAGAAGAACUCUGAUAUUUUCAGCAAGUUUUCUUUAAACUUUGUCUGAAGUUGAAGAUGUAGUAAAAGCAUAGAACAAAUUUCAAACCAACCAUAAAAAGAAAAGGACUAAAGCAAGAAAAG
rnacentral:lncRNA from 1 species